UACGUAGGUGGCAAGCGUUGUCCGGAAUUAUUGGGCGUAAAGCGCGCGCAGGCGGUUCUUUAAGUCUGAUGUGAAAGCCCACGGCUCAACCGUGGAGGGUCAUUGGAAACUGGAGAACUUGAGUACAGAAGAGGAAAGCGGAAUUCCACGUGUAGCGGUGAAAUGCGUAGAGAUGUGGAGGAACACCAGUGGCGAAGGCGGCUUUCUGGUCUGUAACUGACACUGAGGCGCGAAAGCGUGGGGAGCAAACAGG
rnacentral:rRNA from 1 species